rnacentral:rRNA from 1 species
CACGUAGGGUGCGAGCGUUGUCCGGAAUUAUUGGGCGUAAAGAGCUCGUAGGCGGUGUGUCGCGUCGGCCGUGCAAACCUGGGGCUUAACUCUGGGCUUGCGGUCGAUACGGGCAUCACUGGAGUUCGGCAGGGGAGACUGGAAUUCCUGGUGUAGCGGUGAAAUGCGCAGAUAUCAGGAGGAACACCGGUGGCGAGGGCGGGUCUCUGGGCCGAUACUGACGCUGAGGAGCGAAAGCGUGGGGAGCGAACAGG